rnacentral:rRNA from 1 species
GGAAUCUUGCGCAAUGGGCGAAAGCCUGACGCAGCGACGCCGCGUGAGGGAUGAAGCUUUUCGGAGCGUAAACCUCUUUCGACCCGGACGAAUACCCGCACGGGUUCGACGGUCCGGGGCGCAGAAGCCCCGGCUAACUCCGUGCCAGCAGCCGCGGUAAUACGUAGGGGGCCAGCGUUGCUCGGAAUUACUGGGCGUAAAGGGUCUGUAGGCGGUGCGGUAAGUCCGGAGUGAAAUCUCCAGGCUCAACUUGGAGGCUGCUUCGGAAACUGCCGUGCUCGAGUGUGGGAGAGGCGCGUGGAAUUGCAGGUGUAGCGGUGAAAUGCGUAGAUAUCUGCAGGAACACCAGUGGCGAAAGCGGCGCGCUGGACCACAACUGACGCUGAGAGACGAAAGCUAGGGGAGCAAA